CGCGCACUCGCGCCCGCGCCCUCACCUCUCUCUCCCCAUCCAAACCCUACCCCGCGCCCGCCUCCCUGCCCUGCCGCCGGCGCCGGCGCCGCCGCUCGCCCGGGCACCCAUCCCCGGCCUCACGCCGCCCAUCUAGAGAGAUGGGGGCCGCGCGCGACGAGGCCGGCGUGCCGUCGUCUCGUCUUCUGCCGCGCCCGCCUCCCUGCCUCGCCGCUGGCCGCCGCCGCCGCUGCUCGCCCGGGUACCCGGCCGCGGGUGAUGUGGCCGACGUGCCGUCGUCCCGUCUUCUGCGAGGUCGAGGAGAGCCAAUCCCACCUCGCCGCCAUCUCCUUCAUCCAGCCGGCUGCCGCCUUGGCCGACUCCUCUCCCCCUCCCGUCCUCCUCCUCUCGCGUCUCCUUCCCGUCGUCAGGCCGCAUACUGCUCCACCCUUCCUCCUCCCCUCCCAUCGCUCCCCUCUAACGCUAGGAGUGGGUGAGGAGGCUGAGCCACUGCCCGCUGCUGGCCCGCAACACCUCCUGUUCGACCACGCCGAGGAAGCACUGAACCUUCAUCCUUGCGUCUGUGCAGAGACGACCCGAGGUGACUUAUAAUCUGUAGCAUAUGUUGCUGCAUUGGGAGAUUUGGAGUACGUGCAUUGAGGCUUAAAUGUGCAAAUGCACACUGCUGGAGCGCCCUUCAGCAACGAGGAGGCCCAACGCGACACGGCCGCCGCCUGCGUCGGUUCUCCCCAGCACGACACGGCCGCCGCCGGCAUCGGUUCUCCCCAGCACAACCACUCUGAAGACGCCCAGGUCCACUGUAGCUGUUGUUCUCUUGUCUUCUUGCACAUAGUACAUCACUUGAUAGUUGAGACUAUACUGGAAAUCGGAUACUCUGAAGCAGUAAAACGUUUCGAGUUCGAUGGUCAGCUUGGCCCAUACAAUUUGGAUUCUUUUGGAGACUGGAAACAACUUUAAAGCUACUUGUCACAAAGUGUCAUUGAACGCCUUGAGCCAAUUGGUGGCAAUUGCAUUGGAGACAUCAUGGAUGGAUAGAGCUCCCCAAAUGGAUAUGGAGACGAUUGAUGGAAACACUUAGAGAAGACAAAUUUGCAAAGAAAGCGCCUGCACACACUGAGAGGAGAGGAUGCUAUUACACAACUAUCCCGCUUCGGUUAAGCACAGAAUUCUGGCAAAGUGUCACUGAAUAUUUCAGAGUUUAUAUCUUUUCUAUGAUGCCCAAAGAAAAUGUGUUUCUAAACCCUUUACUGUUUGUGGCAAUGCUUCUCAUGCUUCCCCAAACAAGCUAUUGCUACUUACAAUUCUGAGAGUAAUAGAACUUGCAUGAUGUGAUCAAAGUUCUUUACUUACUUGCAAUGCUUCCUUUCUUUGCAGCUUUGGAAUAUACAAUAAGGUCAAUGGGCAAUGGCUAGCAAUCAGGAUUAUCAGCUGUCCAAUCACCCAGAAACUUUGAGCUGAAAAUGGAUGGAUGGAUGCACUGUGUGAUAAGAUCAUGAAGGAAGUGUUUUGAAGAGUAUCCCGAGGUUGAGAACAUUUAUAGUGAAUUACAGGAAACAAAACGGUCUUACUCCAGUUCACAUCCAUGGUAACUAUCAAUAUAUAACUCCAGUUCAUGUUCUUCUAAUUAUACAUGAGGGUAUGAAAAAUCCACACUCUUAUGUGAAGGACGUGAGGUGUCGCUGAUGAGACCUUUGUGUUGGCCGGUGAUCAUGGGCAACGUUAUAUAGUUAGUUUGAUAUGUUAUAUGGUCCAGCUAGGUUCGAAGGAACGGGAUCUUUGGAUCAGUCCCAUAUUCAUGUUAGUUUUAUAACAAAUCGGUGAAAAUUACUUCUGUGUGUUGUUGCUUCAAGUUGAAGUUUGGUCACUUGUUUUCAGGUCUACCCCGCCGUCAUUUCUAUAAAAAUAAACAAAUUCUUUAUUUAUAGCCGACUGCCAUUUUCCUUUUGGGUAUGUGUUGGUCGCCCCUCAUCCGCGGCUGCUCGCGGGCGCUCCCGCAAUGCCGCGAGUAAAACUGGUGGUGGCCAUGGCAUUGCUGGCGGCUCUGCCUCUUGCGGUGACUUUGUAGAGUACAAGUCAAGUUUAAAGCUUUCGACCGCGACGGCUGAAAAACCAAAGUAAAUGCAUCAUAUAUAUUCUAAUAAAUGCAUGCGAAUCAUAGAAAAUAUGGUAAGCACCUAUCCUGCAAUUUAGGACUGGCGUGAUGUUGCUCUUUGUUGAUAGAAAUCAUACUUGCAUAGCUGUUUGAUUGAUUUGAUUAUAAUCAAACUGCACCGUCAUAAUAUUAUAUCCUUGCCAUAUUGUAAAGUUUCAGUUGGGUUGGUCACGGCACACUAUAUGCGAUAUGGCAAUGUUUUGUACCAAUCUUUGUGAUGUACUCCGGAAGAAAGGUAUACAAGCAGAACUAUCUCCAAAUGUAUAAAGAAUUAGCAUGUUCUUAGUGGUUAGUAGCGCCUGAUUCAAAGUGACUGUGAACGGGUUCGAAUCCUGGUCACUGCAUUUUUUAAAUAAUUAAUUUCUCCUAGGAGCUGACACGUGGGACCACUGCCACGUAGGCUAGGCUUUUCUUAUCUAAACUACUUGAUGUGACAAAAUAUCUUAAACAAGCUCUGUGAUUUGUAUGCUCUCUUAUAUUAUCAAAGAUGAUUGCACUUAUAUGAUAUGUUUGAUAGUUCCUAUAUACUCCGAAAGAAAAAAUAGCUGAUGUUCCGCUCCCUGCAGGUCUGCACUCGCGUCACGCCCUUUCCUCUCCCUGCCGCCUUGCCCCUCUCCCUGCCUGCUCGUUGCCCCGGUCUUCUCUGAUGGUGCUCCUAGAUGUGCUAUACAUCACCUCCUCACCUCCUUGGCCACUUCGGUGCCCAUGGCUUUCGUGCUCGUUGGCAGGAUGGUGCAAGGCGCAACUCCGACGUGGUUCCUCACUGGUUGGAUGGCGUUCAGGCACAACCCUGGUGCCCUCUGAGUACUGCCUCGGCUACAACCUCCCUCUGUGAGCUCCAUCUUCCCCUGCUCUGCUUCGGCUACUAUAUGGGACAUGGCCAGGGCUAUGAUGAUCAGUUAUGGCUGAUAUAGGCAUGCUCUCAAGCAGUGGAGGCACUUGUGGGUAUUAAUUUGGAUCCUCCCUCGUUUCUUUGAGCUGUUUUGAGCACGUUCUUAUUUUAGUGGCUCUGUCCUUGGAUGGUCAUUUCUAAUGAGUGAUAACCAGGGCAGUUAAACCCUCGUAAGAACAUAUUGAUCCGGUGAUCCAUCCAGAAAUCCAGAAAUAAGUCCAUCCAUCCAGAAAUAAGAAUAGAAACUCCUCAGGCCGCUCCUCAGCGAUUUGGGAUUCCUGGCCGUCGGAUCUGGUUGCUUGAUGGAUCUUGGGCCGUCGGAUCGACCCCUGUAAUGACCUUGUCCGUCGGAUAAAAAAAAAUUACUGCUGGAAUGAAUAGUUACUCCCAAAAUGAGAUAUCUCGUGCCACCGCGUUUGAAUCACGUGCCCCAUCGGUCGGAAGCCAUUCUUGCUAGGGCGAUGAUGAUUAGCCGUGGGUAUCAAGUUGGGUCCUCCCUCUUGUCUCUAGAAUCCUUUUUGAUCCUGUGAUACUUAUUGUUCUGUCCUUUGGAUGGUCAUUCUUAUUGAGUGAUAACCAGGGCAGCUCCACUGUAUAAACAGAUUGAUCUGGUGAUAAGAGAUGAUGGGGGUAGAUUAUAUGAUCGAGGAAAGGCAAAUCUGAGCCCAUAUGCAUUGAACCCUGAACCCUUUUUAUUCGCACGUGCCCCACCGGUCGGAAGCCAUCCUUGCUAGGGCGAUGAUGAUUCGCUGUGGCUGAAAUAAGUGUGCCUUUGAGCAAUCAAGGCACCUGUGGGUAUCAAGUUGGGUCCUCCCUCUUGUCUCUAGAAUCCUUUUUGAUCAUGUGAUGUCCUUGGAUGGUCAUUCUUGUUGAAUGAUAACCAGGGCAGCUCCACUGUAUAAACAGAUUAAUCUGGUGACAAGAGAUGGCGGGGGUAGAUUAUAUGAUCGAGGAAAGGCAAAUCUGAGCCCACUAUGCAUUGAACCCUGAACCCUUUAUAUUUGUAUUUAAAGGUGUUGCUUAUUUAUGCUCCAGUGUUUAUAGCCGUCUUAUGUGAAUAUUUCUUCUCUCUCAUACCUUUAUUGCAUAUAAGUUGUUCUUGACUUUUAUUGUUUGUUGUUGGUCCUUGAUUUCAUCUGGUUAAGAGUAAGCAAGUUGUCGGUUCAAUGGCUUGUUUUAAUUUGUUGAUAAACCAGCAGAAACCACGGUGUCAUGUUUCUAAUAACAGCGUCUUUAGGCUGGUUAAUGUCUGUAUUGGAGACCAUUACCUUUUAUUUCGCUUGUUUCUUACCAUCUUCCUUGCUUCUCUGGCUGUUUCACGGUUGGGACGGUGGCGUGGCGUUGGGGCUGUCUUGCGGGUUGGCCGGAGAGGGAGCACACCGAGUGGGCUUCUAAGAUGGCUGAGGGAUUUGUCUAGGGUUUCCUGGUUAAUCCAUUCUGAUUUUGGUCUGCUCAUGCUCUUGGCUUCCGGACCGUGGUGCUCAAGUAUGCAUAUGAUUGGAUAUGCGCAUUCAGCUUUCGUGUCAUCGAUGGUUUCAGAUUCCUCCAUCCUUACUACACUGCCUAUAGUUUCUUAGGUCCCAUUGCUGACCCGUAGAGAGGCGUCUGUGGGGGUCUCCAUGGUUGCCGGUGACCGAACGCGACCACCGCUGCCGAUCCCGCUAUUUUUUUAUAUUAGAUGCUCUCCUGCUUUGGCUAAAUCAGAUAGAGGCUUUAAGCAUAUUCAGUUUAAAUAAUGUCAGUCCUAAUUUGGAUAAAUGAAAUAACAAGAGCUUCAGACUAAUGUGGAACAAUUGGUCAAAAUAGAAGAGUUUAGUUCCUGUCAGUUUAGUUAGUGGCCUAUAUGAAUUUGAUUUGGCCCACAAUAAUUUUGUAUAAUUAUUGAUUUGCUAGCAUAUAUUCUAAACUUAAUUUUGUUAGCUCCUAUCUCGUGUUCUUUCUUAUAAUAUCUUUUUAUAUGACGUGCUUCACGAGAGUUUCUCCAUGUUUAUGAAGAAAAGAUUUGGGUUCAGAGCACCUUCGGUUAUAAGAAUUUGUUUUCUAAUUCUUGCUGGUCAGUUGCAAAACAUUAAUUUUUGUUUGCUUUACAAUUUUUCAGAAGUAAUGGGAAAUGACGAGCUCCUACUUUUUAUGCCAGCUCUAUGACGUAGGUUCGUGUGAGGUGGUCCCUAUGAAGUACAUCGACAAGGCAGAUGGAUUACGUGACUUAUUAGUAUGCUUAGUGAUAAUGGCUCCGUAGUUGGCUCUUUUUAAUAUAUUCCUGUUCUUAUUACCUCUUAUGUGUUUUUGCUUUUGGUAUCGAACUUCAUGUCGAAUGUGUAUCUUUUGUGGUCGUAUGAACGCACCGAGCUUGAUCCUGCCUUAUAAACUGAUGUUGAUCUUGUACUCCAUUGUGUUUUACUUUUAUCACAAUACAGGCGCGGCGGAGGAGCUGUCUUCUGAGUUGACCGGAGAGGGAGCACAUUGGAGAGGCUUCUGAGAUGACCAAGGGUUUACUGAUCGAUCCAUCCUGAUUGGGAUCUGUUUGUGGUCCUGGUUGACUGGCUGGUGCGUCGUGCCGUUGCUGGUGCUUGAGGUUGUCUCGCUGGUUUCCUUGCAGUAUCGUCGAUCUGUGCAUCCAGGCACCCCAAGCUUUUCCUCGCGCGAUGGCAUCAGGCGCACGGAGGGAGCUCUUCUCCGUCGAUGUGGUGAACAACGACCAUGAUCUCCGUUCCACGGCGUCUCCGGCUAGCAAGUCAACACACAACACGAUUGUAGAGUGGUAAGUCCAGGCACCCCAAGCCUGUCCACGGUGCCACCAAUGAACAAGGCCGAGACAAGCAUCGUAAGGAUCCAGUUAGAAUGAUGAUUGAUAUCCUGUUAGAGCAUCUUGGGCUUCACAAGGCCAUCUGAGACUCGGGAUCGAUGAGGCAUUUGACAUGAUAAACAAGUGCCAAAGGUUACUUGUAUGAUCUGAGAUACAUGAGCUCCUUCUCAGAUCAGCUUCAUAAUGUGAUAGCACAUGGCUUUCCUCCUGCCCGUGCCGUGGAUACAUUGACAAACGUGACCCUUAUGAAUAUUGAAGUGAUGGCACAUAACCUUAAGAGCAGAAGCAAUCAUCUGUAGAAGAGGCUGCAUGCCAUAAAAAGACAGUCUUUAGGCGCAACAGCAUGAGGUGUUUGCACCAAUUGAUUUCUUCACACCAAGGCCAUGGCGUUGAUCAUCUAUGGACAUCACAGAUCAUCUAUUCUAACUCUGGCAAGUACGAGAUGAUAUAUGAUGCCACCAGCUCCUGUGAUGUACCGUGCAAACUACUGUGUGAUCUCCCUCUCCUUUUGUGAACACGUCCCCUUCGGCACGUCUAUUCGUACUUUUGCACUCAAUAUUUAUGUGUAUGAACAUUGCAUCCUUUAAUUUACCCUGUAUAUGAACAUUACAUCCUUCAAAUGUGUUGUACUAUA